rnacentral:rRNA from 1 species
UACGUAGGGUGCGAGCGUUGUCCGGAAUUACUGGGCGUAAAGAGCUCGUAGGUGGUUUGUCGCGUUGUUCGUGAAAACCGGGGGCUUAACCCUCGGCGUGCGGGCGAUACGGGCAGACUGGAGUACUGCAGGGGAGACUGGAAUUCCUGGUGUAGCGGUGGAAUGCGUAGAUAUCAGGAAGAACACCAAUGGCGAAAGCAGCUCUCUGGGACGGUACUGACGCUGAGACGCGAAAGCGUGGGGAGCGAACAGG